rnacentral:rRNA from 1 species
AGCGAACGCUGGCGGCAGGCCUAACACAUGCAAGUCGAACGACGUCUUCGGACUUAGUGGCGGACGGGUGAGUAACACGUGGGAACGUGCCUUUAGCUUCGGAAUAACUCAGGGAAACUUGUGCUAAUACCGAAUGUGCCCUGCGGGGGAAAGAUUUAGCGCCUUUAGAGCGGCCCGCGUCUGAUUAGCUAGUUGGGGAGGUAAAGGUUCACCAAGGCGACGAUCAGUAGCUGGGCUGAGGGGUUGAUCAGCCACGUUGGGCGGGGGACACGGCCCAGAGUCCUGCGGGGGGCAGCAGUGGGGAAUCUAGCGCACUGGGCGAAAGCCUGACGCAGCCAUGCCGCGUGAGUGGUGGAGGUCUUAGGAUUGUAAAAUUCUUUCACCGGGGAUGUGAAUGACGGUACCCGGAGGAGAAGCCCCGGCUAACUUCGUGCCAGCCGCCGCCGUAAUAC